rnacentral:rRNA from 1 species
AUUGAACGCUGGCGGCAUGCCUUACACAUGCAAGUCGAACGGCAGCACGGGUGCUUGCACCUGGUGGCGAGUGGCGAACGGGUGAGUAAUAUAUCGGAACGUACCUUAUUGUGGGGGAUAACGCAGCGAAAGCUGUGCUAAUACCGCAUAAUCCCUAAGGGGGAAAGCGGGGGACCGUAAGGCCUCGCGCAAUUAGAGCGGCCGAUACCUGAUUAGCUAGUUGGUGAGGUAAAGGCUCACCAAGGCAACGAUCAGUAGCUGGUCUGAGAGGACGAACAGCCACACUGGGAAUGAGACACGGCCCAGACUCCUACGGGAGGCAGCAGUGGGGAAUUUUGGACAAUGGGGGCAACCCUGAUCCAGCAAUGCCGCGUGAGUGAAGAAGGCCUUUGGGUUGUAAAGCUCUUUUGUCAGGGAAGAAACAGCAGCUCUAACACAGUAUGCGAAUGACGGUACCUGAAGAAUAAGCACCGGCUAACUACGUGCCAGCCGCCGCAGUAA